UCAAACUGAUACUCUUCUGCAUAGAUUCUUUGAAAGGUGACUUUAGUCAUAUAGCAAAGAGUAUGUAACACUACGUUUUCACAUAGUUUCGCUUGAAUAACAGUGUGGAUACGAAGUUAAUUAAAAAUAAUGGAAAUCGCGCAGAAUUUCAUGGGUCCCGGCGCGACAAAAACUAUGAACAGGAUAAAUGAAAACGCAAAUGUUGUCGGCACCAUCAUUGUUAAUUGUGAAGGCUUCCCAGAGACGACUACGUUGGACAGUCUGACUGCGGCCACAUACUCAACUCACAUGAGAAGCCUUUCGCAUCACGCUUCUAACGCUUUAAAAGAAGUUGACGUUACCGACGAGCUGGUGGUUCUGAGAUUGGUGACAAAGAAGACAGAAGCCGUGGUUGUACCCGAUACCGAGUUCCACCUUAUUGUAGUCAUGCGGAGAGCGUAAUAUGUUUCUUAAGACAUCACUAGGCUAUGCCUUAAAAACUGCGCGAUGCCUUGAUAACUUUUGAUUUUAUUUAACAAAUUGUUGUUUUAUUAAAUGGUUUCUUUUAA